GUCGAGCGGCGGACGGGUGAGUAAUGCCUAGGAAAUUGCCCUGAUGUGGGGGAUAACCAUUGGAAACGAUGGCUAAUACCGCAUAAUGCCUACGGGCCAAAGAGGGGGACCUUCGGGCCUCUCGCGUCAGGAUAUGCCUAGGUGGGAUUAGCUAGUUGGUGAGGUAAUGGCUCACCAAGGCGACGAUCCCUAGCUGGUCUGAGAGGAUGAUCAGCCACACUGGAACUGAGACACGGUCCAGACUCCUACGGGAGGCAGCAGUGGGGAAUAUUGCACAAUGGGCGCAAGCCUGAUGCAGCCAUGCCGCGUGUGUGAAGAAGGCCUUCGGGUUGUAAAGCACUUUCAGUCGUGAGGAAGGUGGUGUAGUUAAUAGCUGCAUUAUUUGACGUUAGCGACAGAAGAAGCACCGGCUAACUCCGUGCCAGCAGCCGCGGUAAUACGGAGGGUGCGAGCGUUAAUCGGAAUUACUGGGCGUAAAGCGCAUGCAGGUGGUUUGUUAAGUCAGAUGUGAAAGCCCGGGGCUCAACCUCGGAAUAGCAUUUGAAACUGGCAGACUAGAGUACUGUAGAGGGGGGGUAGAAUUUCAGGUGUAGCGGUGAAAUGCGUAGAGAUCUGAAGGAAUACCGGUGGCGAAGGCGGCCCCCUGGACAGAUACUGACACUCAGAUGCGAAAGCGUGGGGAGCAAACAGGAUUAGAUACCCUGGUAGUCCACGCCGUAAACGAUGUCUACUUGGAGGUUGUGGCCUUGAGCCGUGGCUUUCGGAGCUAACGCGUUAAGUAGACCGCCUGGGGAGUACGGUCGCAAGAUUAAAACUCAAAUGAAUUGACGGGGGCCCGCACAAGCGGUGGAGCAUGUGGUUUAAUUCGAUGCAACGCGAAGAACCUUACCUACUCUUGACAUCCAGAGAACUUUCCAGAGAUGGAUUGGUGCCUUCGGGAACUCUGAGACAGGUGCUGCAUGGCUGUCGUCAGCUCGUGUUGUGAAAUGUUGGGUUAAGUCCCGCAACGAGCGCAACCCUUAUCCUUGUUUGCCAGCGAGUAAUGUCGGGAACUCCAGGGAGACUGCCGGUGAUAAACCGGAGGAAGGUGGGGACGACGUCAAGUCAUCAUGGCCCUUACGAGUAGGGCUACACACGUGCUACAAUGGCGCAUACAGAGGGCAGCAAGCUAGCGAUAGUGAGCGAAUCCCAAAAAGUGCGUCGUAGUCCGGAUUGGAGUCUGCAACUCGACUCCAUGAAGUCGGAAUCGCUAGUAAUCGUGGAUCAGAAUGCCACGGUGAAUACGUUCCCGGGCCUUGUACACACCGCCCGUCACACCAUGGGAGUGGGCUGCAAAAGAAGU
rnacentral:rRNA from 1 species